UACGAAGGGGGCUAGCGUUGUUCGGAUUUACUGGGCGUAAAGCGCACGUAGGCGGAUCUUUAAGUCAGAGGUGAAAUCCCAAGGCUCAACCUUGGAACUUCCUUUGAUACUGGGGAUCUUGAGUCCGGGAGAGGUGAGUGGAACUGCGAGUGUAGAGGUGAAAUUCGUAGAUAUUCGCAAGAACACCAGUGGCGAAGGCGGCUCACUGGCCCGGUACUGACGCUGAGGUGCGAAAGCGUGGGGAGCGAACAGG
rnacentral:rRNA from 1 species